UUAUAUACCCCUAGGUCCAAAGGGAGGCCAAGGGGUUACUGUGGAGAAUAUGAAUGGGAUUUGAACUGAAAGAACGGGAAGUCCACGUGUACAUGCAUAAGGUACCUUGCUAUGAGAGGUGGAAUUGGGGGUAAGAAGAGGAGGGAGGCCAUAUGCUGAGAGCUCCUAUUUUUAUUCUUGCCCUGGUCCCACAAACACAAAA
rnacentral:sRNA from 1 species